rnacentral:rRNA from 1 species
GCCUUAAAAAGUUAAAUGCGGGAAGAUC